ACAUGUAUUUUAUGCAACUUUUUCAAGAAAGUGGAUGCUUAACCAAACUUAAGCUACUUUGGAAUGUAUCACUUUUUCAUGGUCAAUCAAACAUACAAAAACCAUUUUCUCAAGCACAAUAUAUACGAGCAUCAGCUUUCAAGAAAAAACAUUCCAGUAAGAAAAAAUUCUUUCCGUAAACCAAACAAGUCAUUAUUGCUUGGGUUCUGAUGCUACCCAACUUCAACAACGAUCCUAGUUAUUGAUGAAGUCAAACGACAAUUAGCCCCUAGCCAUGCAAAUCAUUCUAGUGACAAGAGAUUUACCUUUGGCAAUGCAAGACUAUAACAACGUGAGUUUAGAAUUCUAUAUUACCAGACAUUUAUACCCUUCUUGUUACCAGUAUAUAUCGUCGUGUACUCGCCUAUAUUACAGUGUAUGUAUUAGUCAAUAUUGGUAUGUAUUGGCAUGCAUCACGCUGUAACUGAAAGAGGUUGUGAAGAGCUCUUUCCACCAUGGCAUCCUGGGGCUCUUAUUGGGGGGCUUGGAUGAAUAGAGGAGCCUUAACAAGAAGAGUAGCAGACUUCU
rnacentral:lncRNA from 1 species